rnacentral:rRNA from 1 species
UACGUAGGGGGCGAGCGUUGUCCGGAUUUAUUGGGCGUAAAGAGCUCGUAGGCGGCUUAGCAAGUCGGGUGUGAAAACUCCAGGCUCAACCUGGAGACGCCACUCGAGACUGCUAUGGCUAGAGUCCGGUAGGGGACCACGGAAUUCCUGGUGUAGCGGUGAAAUGCGCAGAUAUCAGGAGGAACACCGGUGGCGAAGGCGGUGGUCUGGGCCGGCACUGACGCUGAGGAGCGAAAGCGUGGGGAGCAAACAGGAUUAGAUACCCUGGUAGUCCACGCCGUAAACGUUGGGCACUAGGUGUGGGACCUUAUCAACGGGUUCCGUGCCGUAGCUAACGCAUUAAGUGCCCCGCCUGGGGAGUACGGCCGCAAGGCUAAA